CCCUUUGAUACUCUGGGCGGCACGCGCGCUACAAUGGAUAAUACAACGUGUUACUUAACCGAAAGGUUAUGUAAAUCACAAAUGUUACGUCUUGAAUGGGAUAGUUUAUUGCAACUACAGACUUGAACUAGGAAUCCCUUGUAGGUACACUGAAGCAUAGUGUACCGAAUACGUCCCUGCCGUUUGUACACACCGCCCGUCGUUUCUUCCGACUGAUACUCAUUGUGAAUUACGAGGAUGCGUUAGCAAAAUCGUUGUAAAUGCUGGGUAUUGGAGGAAGAAAAAGUCGUANCA
rnacentral:rRNA from 1 species